CGGGCGAACGGGUGAGUAACACGUAGGUGAUCUGCCCAUCAGACGGGGACAACGAUUGGAAACGAUCGCUAAUACCGGAUAGGACGAAAGUUUAAAGAUGCUUCUGGCAUCACUGAUGGAUGAGCCUGCGGCGCAUUAGCUAGUUGGUGGGGUAAAGGCCUACCAAGGCGACGAUGCGUAGCCGACCUGAGAGGGUGAACGGCCACACUGGGACUGAGACACGGCCCAGACUCCUACGGGAGGCAGCAG
rnacentral:rRNA from 1 species